GUGCUCGCCUGGGCAGCACAUAUAUUAAAGUUGGAACGAUACAGAAAAGAUUAGCAUGGUCCCUGCGUGAGGAUGACACGCAAAUGCUUGAAGUGCUCCAUAUUUUU
ensembl:snRNA U6 U6 spliceosomal RNA